rnacentral:rRNA from 1 species
CAGUCGCCGCGGUAAUACGAAGGGGGCUAGCGUUGUUCGGAUUUACUGGGCGUAAAGCGCACGUAGGCGGAUCGAUCAGUCAGGGGUGAAAUCCCAGAGCUCAACUCUGGAACUGCCUUUGAUACUGUCGAUCUGGAGUAUGGAAGAGGUGGGUGGAAUUCCGAGUGUAGAGGUGAAAUUCGUAGAUAUUCGGAGGAACACCAGUGGCGAAGGCGGCUCACUGGUCCAUUACUGACGCUGAGGUGCGAAAGCGUGGGGAGCAAACAGGAUUAGAUACCCCUGUAGUCCCGUCUCUUAUACC